UACGUAGGGUGCAAGCGUUAAUCGGAAUUACUGGGCGUAAAGCGUGCGCAGGCGGUUUUGUAAGUCUGUCGUGAAAUCCCCGGGCUCAACCUGGGAAUUGCGAUGGAGACUGCAAGGCUAGAAUCUGGCAGAGGGGGGUAGAAUUCCACGUGUAGCAGUGAAAUGCGUAGAGAUGUGGAGGAACACCGAUGGCGAAGGCAGCCCCCUGGGUCAAGGUAUGACGCUCAUGCACGAAAGCGUGGGGAGCAACAGG
rnacentral:rRNA from 1 species